AUCCGGCGAAAUGUAAUAAGAAUCCGUGAACUUUGACAAGCUGCGGCCAUGGUGAUGACUCUGCAUAGACACAGAGGCUGCUGGGGCAGUUUUGCUUUGCCUCCAGUACUUGUCUUGUCUUGCAUUGCAAGAUUCAAAUCUUGAAGACCAAACAAAAAAGGCAAUGAUGAGGAUGGUGAUGAGUGAAAGGUUUUCUAGAUAGAAACCGACCAUUUUCAUUAUGUGGAAGAUAAUUCUUUUCUUUAAUAAUAUGGCUACUGAUGAUGAAGUAGAAGAUAAAUCAUAAAUGGGUCUUCUAUACUUGCCAAUGUGAAAGAUGUGUUGAUUUUAUGUGAUCAAUUUUGAGAUUGGUGGGCAUGUAUUUAUAGGGACAAAGUUGCCUAAGCUCAUGGUACUAUUCAGCCAUAUGAUACAUAGUUAGAUAAAGGAUGGGUUCCUUCUUCAAUUUUCUCUUAGUUUGUCUAUUUGUUUCCUAUGUUUUGAUGUGUAGUAUAUUAUUGAUUAUUUCUCUCUCUCUAAUCUUCUGUUGAUUCACAUAGUUACUUGCAUGACCUAUUUAAGCUUAUUGACAAUAAAUUUGAAAAUAAUUAUCUUAGAAGAGAAUUUAAAAUUAGGAUUUACUUUUAUUUCAUUUGCGACCCACUAAUUUGAUCAUUCCCUAACUUACUCUUGUUGGAAACUAAAAUUUUAUAAGAAAUUAAUUAAAUUGAUUUCCUUUUUAUCAAUUCUUAUGUUUGGA
rnacentral:misc_RNA from 1 species